GGCAUAGAUCAGUGGCAGACCACCUGCCUUGCAGGCAGUAGCUCCAGGUUCAGUCCCUGGUAUCUCCA